rnacentral:lncRNA from 1 species
UCCUCUUUGUUGUUGUUGAGGUUGGGUUGCUGGAAUAGUCACAGCAGUAACUUGACGGUAUUGUUGUCCUCUGUUUCCACUUCUCUAAUUAUGUAUAGCAUUUGUCUCACCCUCUCUCCUUCUGGGUGCCCCUGAAAAUGGUUUCUUAGCACUUGAAGAACUUGAAGAACCAGGGUCUUGGAUUUUUCCCGCUUUGAUAAGACUUUUAGUUCUUUCUCC